rnacentral:rRNA from 1 species
GGGUUGUGAGGUUAAGCGACUAAGCGUACACGGUGGAUGCCCUGGCAGUCAGAGGCGAUGAAGGACGUGCUAAUCUGCGAAAAGCGUCGGUAAGGUGAUAUGAACCGUUAUAACCGGCGAUGUCCGAAUGGGGAAACCCAGUGCAAUUCGUUGCACUAUCGUUAACUGAAUACAUAGGUUAACGAGGCGAACCGGGGAACUGAAACAUCUAAGUACCCGAGGAAAAGAAAUCAACCGAGAUUCCCCCAGUAGCGGCGAGCGAACGGGGAGCAGCCCAGAGUCUGAAUCAGCUUGUGUGUUAGUGGAACGGUCUGGAAAGUCCGACGGUACAGGGUGAUAGUCCCGUACACCAAAAUGCACAGGUUGUGAACUCGAAGAGUAGGGCGGGACACGUGGUAUCCUGUCUGAAUAUGGGGGGACCAUCCUCCAAGGCUAAAUACUCCUGACUGACCGAUAGUGAACCAGUACCGUGAGGGAAAGGCGAAAAGAACCCCGGCGAGGGGAGUGAAAAAGAACCUGAAACCGUGUACGUACAAGCAGUGGGAGCACCUUCGGGUGUGACUGCGUACCUUUUGUAUAAUGGGUCAGCGACUUAUAUUCUGUAGCAAGGUUAACCGUAUAGGGGAGCCGCAGGGAAACCGAGUCUUAACUGGGCGUUAAGUUGCAGGGUAUAGACCCGAAACCCGGUGAUCUAGCCAUGGGCAGGUUGAAGGUUGGGUAACACUAACUGGAGGACCGAACCGACUAAUGUUGAAAAAUUAGCGGAUGACUUGUGGCUGGGGUGAAAGGCCAAUCAAACCGGGAGAUAGCUGGUUCUCCCCGAAAGCUAUUUAGGUAGCGCCUCGUGAACUCAUCUUCGGGGGUAGAGCACUGUUUCGGCUAGGGGGUCAUCCCGACUUACCAACCCGAUGCAAACUACGAAUACCGAAGAAUGUUAUCACGGGAGACACACGGCGGGUGCUAACGUCCGUCGUGAAGAGGGAAACAACCCAGACCGCCAGCUAAGGUCCCAAAGUCAUGGUUAAGUGGGAAACGAUGUGGGAAGGCACAGACAGCCAGGAUGUUGGCUUAGAAGCAGCCAUCAUUUAAAGAAAGCGUAAUAGCUCACUGGUCGAGUCGGCCUGCGCGGAAGAUGUAACGGGGCUAAACCAUGCACCGAAGCUGCGGCAGCGACACUAUGUGUUGUUGGGUAGGGGAGCGUUCUGUAAGCCUGCGAAGGUGUGCUGUGAGGCAUGCUGGAGGUAUCAGAAGUGCGAAUGCUGACAUAAGUAACGAUAAAGCGGGUGAAAAGCCCGCUCGCCGGAAGACCAAGGGUUCCUGUCCAACGUUAAUCGGGCAGGGUGAGUCGACCCCUAAGGCGAGGCCGAAAGGCGUAGUCGAUGGGAAACAGGUUAAUAUUCCUGUACUUGGUGUUACUGCGAAGGGGGACGGAGAAGGCUAUGUUAGCCGGGCGACGGUUGUCCCGGUUUAAGCAUGUAGGCUGAUUGUCCAGGCAAAUCCGGAUAAUCAAGGCUGAGGUGUGAUGACGAGGCACUACGGUGCUGAAGUAACAAAUGCCCUGCUUCCAGGAAAAGCCUCUAAGCAUCAGGUAACAUUAAAUCGUACCCCAAACCGACACAGGUGGUCAGGUAGAGAAUACCAAGGCGCUUGAGAGAACUCGGGUGAAGGAACUAGGCAAAAUGGUGCCGUAACUUCGGGAGAAGGCACGCUGGUGUGUAGGUGAAGUCCCUGCGGAUGGAGCUGAGACCAGUCGAAGAUACCAGCUGGCUGCAACUGUUUAUUAAAAACACAGCACUGUGCAAACACGAAAGUGGACGUAUACGGUGUGACGCCUGCCCGGUGCCGGAAGGUUAAUUGAUGGGGUUAUCCGUAAGGAGAAGCUCUUGAUCGAAGCCCCGGUAAACGGCGGCCGUAACUAUAACGGUCCUAAGGUAGCGAAAUUCCUUGUCGGGUAAGUUCCGACCUGCACGAAUGGCGUAAUGAUGGCCAGGCUGUCUCCACCCGAGACUCAGUGAAAUUGAACUCGCUGUGAAGAUGCAGUGUACCCGCGGCAAGACGGAAAGACCCGUGAACCUUUACUAUAGCUUGACACUGAACAUUGAGCCUUGAUGUGUAGGAUAGGUGGGAGGCUUUGAAGCGUGGACGCCAGUCUGCGUGGAGCCAACCUUGAAAUACCACCCUUUAAUGUUUGAUGUUCUAACGUUGGCCCCUGACCGGGGUUGCGGACAGUGUCUGGUGGGUAGUUUGACUGGGGCGGUCUCCUCCCAAAGCGUAACGGAGGAGCACGAAGGUUAGCUAAUCCUGGUCGGACAUCAGGAGGUUAGUGCAAUGGCAUAAGCUAGCUUGACUGCGAGCGUGACGGCGCGAGCAGGUGCGAAAGCAGGUCAUAGUGAUCCGGUGGUUCUGAAUGGAAGGGCCAUCGCUCAACGGAUAAAAGGUACUCCGGGGAUAACAGGCUGAUACCGCCCAAGAGUUCAUAUCGACGGCGGUGUUUGGCACCUCGAUGUCGGCUCAUCACAUCCUGGGGCUGAAGUAGGUCCCAAGGGUAUGGCUGUUCGCCAUUUAAAGUGGUACGCGAGCUGGGUUUAGAACGUCGUGAGACAGUUCGGUCCCUAUCUGCCGUGGGCGCUGGAGAAUUGAGGGGGCUGCUCCUAGUACGAGAGGACCGGAGUGGACGCAUCACUGGUGUUCGGGUUGUCAUGCCAAUGGCACUGCCCGGUAGCUAAAUGCGGAAGAGAUAAGUGCUGAAAGCAUCUAAGCACGAAACUUGCCCCGAGAUGAGUUCUCCCUGAGACUUUAAGUCUCCUGAAGGAACGUUGAAGACGACGACGUUGAUAGGCCGGGUGUGUAAGCGCAGCGAUGCGUUGAGCUAACCGGUACUAAUGAACCGUGAGGCUUAACCUUACAACGCCGAAG